UGCACCUAAAUGGAAGCCUUUGAGCAGA
rnacentral:piRNA from 1 species